AGUGAACGCUGGCGGUAGGCCUAACACAUGCAAGUCGAACGGCAGCACAGUAAGAGCUUGCUCUUACGGGUGGCGAGUGGCGGACGGGUGAGGAAUACAUCGGAAUCUACUUUUUCGUGGGGGAUAACGUAGGGAAACUUAUGCUAAUACCGCAUACGACCUACGGGUGAAAGCAGGGGAUCUUCGGACCUUGCGCGAUUGAAUGAGCCGAUGUCGGAUUAGCUAGUUGGCGGGGUAAAGGCCCACCAAGGCGACGAUCCGUAGCUGGUCUGAGAGGAUGAUCAGCCACACUGGAACUGAGACACGGUCCAGACUCCUACGGGAGGCAGCAGUGGGGAAUAUUGGACAAUGGGCGCAAGCCUGAUCCAGCCAUACCGCGUGGGUGAAGAAGGCCUUCGGGUUGUAAGGCCCUUUUGUUGGGAAAGAAAAGCAGCAGGUUAAUACCCCGCUGUUCUGACGGUACCCAAAGAAUAAGCACCGGCUAACUUCGUG
rnacentral:rRNA from 1 species